rnacentral:rRNA from 1 species
CCUACGGGUGGCAGCAGUGAGGAAUAUUGCACAAUGGGGGAAACCCUGAUGCAGCGACGCCGCGUGAGUGAAGAAGGAUUUCGGUAUGUAAAACUCUAUCAGCAGGGGAGAAAAUGACGGUACCUGACUAAGAAGCCCCGGCUAACUACGUGCCAGCAGCCGCGGUCAUACGUAGGGGGCAAGCGUUAUCCGGAUUUACUGGGUGUAAAGGGAGCGUAGACGGGUAAUCAAGUCAGAAGUGAAAACCCAGGGAUCAACCUUGGGAGUGCUUUUGAAACUGCGUAGCUAGAGUGCAGGAGAGGUAAGCGGAAUGCCUAGUGUAGCGGUGAAAUGCGUAGAUAUGAGGAGGAACACCAGUGGCGAAGGCGGCUUACUGGACUGUAACUGACGUUGAGGCUCGAAAGCGUGGGGAGCAAACAGGAUUAGAUACCCGGGUAGUC